ACACUUUCUAGGCUGUAUAAACUUAAAGAAGUAAGUAUCAUGUUUCAUGUGCUUUUCCUAUGCAUACCGACACAAACGGCUGUGCACUCAUACAAAUGCAUGAAUGCAAUAACUGGAGAUUUUCACUUAAUGGAUUACUUUUUCAAUUUGUUUCUUGGCAAACCCUAUCCUGAUAGCACACGUUCUUCACGGAGAUGUAUUUUUUAUAUACGAAUAUGUAAACAAGCACAUUAACCCAGAGUUUAAGAAAGUAGUGCGAAACGUCGGCGUAUGAAUAACCAGGAUUAAUUGGUAAAUUAUGAGCAGUGUAAAACAUGAAGCAAGAUAACCCAGGGUUAACGAUUUCAAGUGUGAAAAGCCCACGAGUGUUCGCUUCAGCUGGGAAAGUUGAGCAGAAUUUUAGAGAUCACAAGUUUUUAUUUGUGCAUAUUUGUGGUAUACUGUACAAUCUGUUUGACACCAGUUUUCUCGCUCUCUUUUUCCUUUAAUUAAAUGGACAAUAAAUGCAUGAAACUCUU